rnacentral:lncRNA from 1 species
AUGUAUGAUCCCUGUGCUUUGUUUCAAAAUGCAGACAAACUGUUAAAUAUCACUACUAGCUCUGUUAUAUUUUCAGGACCUGCAAGAAAUGCCUCAGUGAUCAGACCCCUUUUUUUCUGUUUUAGAUGUUCUCCCCUCUCCAACACUGGUGGUAGCAAAACAGUCCAAAGGAUUUUGACAGCAUGCAURGUCUCCCUCUGCAGCCUCCUUGGAGCCUUUUCUUUUGAUUUAAGCAACAGCUUGGAAAUAUGGAGAAACACAGGGAAGGCSCUUCAGGAACUUGCCUCCUGUGAAAACGUUUGGGCUGUUCGCCUCAUCUAUCUCCUGCAGGAAGAAAGACAAAGCUGGCUGAUCCCAGCAGCAGCAAAGAGGAAUAGAUCAUUUCAUGCUCAGCUAUUGGAGGAUUUAAACUCCCUCUGUAAUGAAAGUGAAGCAGAACUGUAUUGUGAGAAUUGCCAAUGCAAGGAGAACAUCUCCAUCUGUAGAUUUUAUAUCACUGACAUGAAACAAAGAAUAAAUAGCACAUGGGAUACUGAAGGCAGCCAGGUGCUAUCCAGAGUGAUCUCUGAACUGCUAGAGCUUUUUAGUAGUCUCCAUGAAGACCUGAAAGCUAUGAGAUACAAUCCUGACUGGGCAGACAUAGUAGCUUUUAAACUCAUCCUUCGAAUAAGAGAAGCCAUGCUCAGAGUUCAUUUAACGCCAGCAUCUACAAGUUUUCAAACAACAUUGCAUCCACUUUUCAGCAUUCUGAACUAUGCUAUCCUCUCAUCAGAGAACGUACAUAAGUGCUGGAUGGAUAAUGUCAAUCUAUCACUUGAUUUUACUCACUAUGAAGGAAUCUCUUUUCUCAUCCCAUUCUUGGGCUCAGCUGAAUUUGUCUCCAUUAAAGCCUUGGUAAAGGAACUUUAUUAUGCACAGAGCUGUCUGCUGCAGAAUGGACAGGAAAAGCUCAGCAAGAAAUCUAAAGAAAUCCUGUCCACAAUGAGCCUUAAGAUCAGUCUGUUAGUGAUAGCCUGCCUCAUUUACCCCAUAAUCCUGAUGUCCUUCAAGCAAAUGACAGACUGGAUACACAAUUAUGCCAGGAACCUCAAGGAAAGGACAGAGGACUUGAAAAGGGAGAGGCAGCUAGCUGAGGACCUCUUACACCAGAUGUUGCCAAAAUCUGUGGCCAAGCAGCUAAGGAAAUGCCAAAAAGUUGAGGCAGAAAACUAUGAUCAGGUAAAUCUAGAGACUAUAGGUGAGCAAAUGGAAAACACACUAUCACCAAGGAUAGGAAAGGAUUCCUUUAAAAGAACAUCUAUCUUAUCUCCAGUUUGA